AUGAACGCUGGCGGCGUGCUUAACACAUGCAAGUCGAACGAAGCUCUUUGUGGAUCCCUUCGGGGUGAAGGAAAAGAUGACUGAGUGGCGGACGGGUGAGUAACGCGUGGGAAACCUACCUCAUACAGGGGGAUAACAGCCGGAAACGGCUGCUAAUACCGCAUAAGCGCACAGUACCGCAUGGUACGGUGUGAAAAGCUCCGACGGUAUGGGAUGGUCCCGCGUCUGAUUAGCCAGUUGGCGGGGUAACGGCCCACCAAAGCGACGAUCAGUAGCCGACCUGAGAGGGUGACCGGCCACAUUGGGACUGAGACACGGCCCAAACUCCUACGGGAGGCAGCAGUGGGGAAUAUUGCACAAUGGGCGAAAGCCUGAUGCAGCGAACCGCCGCGUGAGUGAUGAAGUAUUUCGGUAUGUAAAGCUCUAUCAGCAGGGAAGAACAAUGACGGUACCUGACUAAGAAGCUCCGGCUAAAUACGUGCCAGCCGCUGC
rnacentral:rRNA from 1 species